rnacentral:lncRNA from 1 species
GGUGGAGUCAAUUUUACCAUUCUAGAGUUAAUAGAAAAAUUGCUGAUUUUUUUUUGUUUGGAUUCUCUGCUUAGUCCAUUUUUAAAUUACAGAACUUUGACUCUGGAAUUUAUAUUUUUUUUCGACAGUAACCUUCUUUGUGGUAGGACAUCCUGGUGCAAUGUCAAGGGAGACGAAACUUACAUAAGUAAAUUCAAGAUUUUAUUCAGUCCAAUUUUGAGGGAAAGUUAACUGUUUAAUGUUCUAUACAUAAAUAAUUCUUAUAUUAGAGAAUAUGUUGAUAUGAUUGGUCCAGAGAACUUCUGGUAGUUGAUCUUGAAGUUGGUUAUUUUGAUAGACGACGUUGACCAAACUUCUUUUCUUCCCAAUGUAAACAAGAUGAUGGCAAUAAUAACACUGACUUUACCAAAUUUAUUUUUAC